rnacentral:rRNA from 1 species
GCUUACGGUCAUACCACCCUGAGCACGCCCGAUCUCGUCUGAUCUCGGAUGGGAAGCAGGGUUGGGCUUGGUAGUACUUGGUUGGGAGACUACUGCGAAUACCAGGUACUGUAAGCU